rnacentral:lncRNA from 1 species
UGGGACUAUAGGGGACUCCUCGGAACAUCGAAAAUCGGUGGUCCAUUUAAAAAUUCUCAUGGCACUCCCAUUGAUGUACCAUGUUUGCCUAACCCAUAGGCGGGAGUAGUCCUCCUCAACAUCCAAUUGAAUUAACACAUGUCGAUUAUCUAAAAGGGACACCUUGAAAGUUCCCUUCAAUCUCAAUGUAUUAAAAAAUUUACGAAUUAAUUCCAUACUAGGUCUAUUGUAGG